rnacentral:SRP_RNA from 1 species
CCGUGCAGCCGGGGAGAUAGCGGUGCCCUGAACCUGCAAUCCGCUAUAGCAGGGGUGAUGACACGUCGAGGGUCGCUCAAUUUGGAGCUGCCCGCAGCAAGUGAUGUUGACGUUUGGGUCUUAUGCAAUGGGAAUCUAUGAACCGUGUCAGGGUAGGAAUACAGCAGCACUAAGUAGACACUCCUGUGUGACAUAAGGCAGCCUGAAUCGAGUUAACUACUGCGGUAACGUCCGGAAAGACGAUUCGACACGUGCCGCACGG